CAGAGUUCAUGCCCUCACGGGUAGAUCUCCCACCCAAUGUUAUCUUACUUUUGUUGCUUCGGCGGGCCGCCUAUGGCCACCGGCUUUGGCUGGUGAGUGCCCGCCAGAAGACCCCAAAACUCUGAAUGUUAGUGUCGUCUGAGUACUAUACAAUAGUUA
rnacentral:misc_RNA from 1 species